AAAGAAACCAACAGGGAUUGCCCUAGUAACGGCGAGUGAAGCGGCAACAGCUCAAAUUUGAAAUCUGGCCCUCGGGUCCGAGUUGUAAUUUGUAGAGGAUGCUUUUGGUGAGGUGCCUUCCGAGUUCCCUGGAACGGGACGCCAUAGAGGGUGAGAGCCCCGUCUGGUUGGACACCAAACCUCUGUAAAGCUCCUUCGACGAGUCGAGUAGUUUGGGAAUGCUGCUCUAAAUGGGAGGUAUAUGUCUUCUAAAGCUAAAUACCGGCCAGAGACCGAUAGCGCACAAGUAGAGUGAUCGAAAGAUGAAAAGCACUUUGAAAAGAGAGUUAAAAAGUACGUGAAAUUGUUGAAAGGGAAGCGCUUAUGACCAGACUUGGGCUUGGUUGAUCAUCCUGGGUUCUCCCUGGUGCACUCUUCCAGUUCAGGCCAGCAUCAGUUCGCUGCGGGGGAUAAAAGUUUUGGGAAUGUGGCUCCCUCGGGAGUGUUAUAGCCCAUUGCAUAAUACCCUGCUCCGGACUGAGGUUCGCGCAUCUGCAAGGAUGCUGGCGUAAUGGUCAUCAGCGACCCGUCUUGAAACACGGACCAAGGAGUCGUCUUCGUAUGCGAGUGUUCGGGUGUUAAACCCCUACGCGUAAUGAAAGUGAACGCAGGUGAGAGCUUCGGCGCAUCAUCGACCGAUCCUGAUGUUCUCGGAUGGAUUUGAGUAAGAGCAUACGGGGCCGGACCCGAAAGAAGGUGAACUAUGCCUGUAUAGGGUGAAGCCAGAGGAAACUCUGGUGGAGGCUCGCAGCGGUUCUGACGUGCAAAUCGAUCGUCAAAUAUGGGCAUGGGGGCGAAAGACUAAUCGAACCUUCUAGUAGCUGGUU
rnacentral:rRNA from 4 species